rnacentral:tRNA from 1 species
GCCCGCGUAGCUCAAGUGGAGAUAGCGCCUGUUUACGAAGCGGGAGGCUGCUGGUUCGAGUCCAGCCGCGGGCG